CAUCCUUCAUUUUCAAAAACAUCAUUCAUUCUCUCAUUCCCUCUCUUGUUUUAUUCUUCCCAUGCAUAGCCAUUCCAUUUUACCUUCCAUUUUAGCCAACAAAAGCCUUGAAAAACCACCUCUUGGCCAGCCACCUGAGGAACCAUUAGCAAAAGAGCAAUGGGUGGAUCGGUGGAACACUUUUAAUCCAAAUUUAAAAGGCUGUUGAAUUGAAAUAGAGGACUAAACGAUAAAAGGAAAAUUGGGGGCAAAAAGCAUGAAUUUAAAGACAAAACGGGUGAACAUGAGAAAUAGAGAAGAAGUGGUGCCGAAAAUGUAAAGUGUAAAAGACUUGGGGAAAAAAAAUUUCAAAGAAAAGAUUUAUGAACAUCAAGAACUAAAGAAAUCAGACUUGGAUCGGGGAAAAACGAAAGUCGUCGACUAGCUGCCCGAUUCCGUUUUGUAUCGUCCGAGAUCUGCUUCAAGAAAUCUUGCGUUCAAUUCAGAAAUAGAAAAGACUGCAAGAGCUAAUCACAAGGAAACAAAGCUACAAAAAAAAAUAGUUAGAGGUGGUAGGAACUCAGAGUAACCCACCAUCGAAAAUAGAAGCAGGCAAUGAAGCUGGCGAUGAAGCUAAGUGUAGGGUUAACGAAAACCCUACUCAAACACUAAAGAAUG